rnacentral:rRNA from 1 species
UACGUAGGGUGCGAGCGUUGUCCGGAAUUACUGGGCGUAAAGAGCUCGUAGGUGGUUUGUCGCGUUGUUCGUGAAAUGCCACGGCUUAACUGUGGGCGUGCGGGCGAUACGGGCAGACUGGAGUACUGCAGGGAGACUGGAAUCCUGGUGUAGCGGUGAAAUGACGCAGAUAUCAGGAGGAACACCGGUGGCGAAGGCGGAUCUCUGGGCCUGUUCUGACGCUGGAGGCGCGAAAGCCUAGGGGAGCGAACAGG